rnacentral:rRNA from 1 species
UACGAAGGGGGCUAGCGUUGCUCGGAAUCACUGGGCGUAAAGGGUGCGUAGGCGGGUCUUUAAGUCAGGGGUGAAAUCCUGGAGCUCAACUCCAGAACUGCCUUUGAUACUGAAGAUCUUGAGUUCGGGAGAGGUGAGUGGAACUGCGAGUGUAGAGGUGAAAUUCGUAGAUAUUCGCAAGAACACCAGUGGCGAAGGCGGCCAACUGGUCCGGUACUGACGCUGAGGUGGCGAAAAGCGUGGGGAGCAACAGG